rnacentral:rRNA from 1 species
UACGUAGGGGGCAAGCGUUGUCCGGAUUUAUUGGGCGUAAAGAGCGUGUAGGCGGUUUGGUAGGUCCGUUGUGAAAACUCGAGGCUCAACCUCGAGACGCCGGCGGAAACCAUCAGGCUAGAGUCCGGAAGAGGAGAGUGGAAUUCCUGGUGUAGCGGUGAAAUGCGCAGAUAUCGGGAAGAACACCCGUGGCGAAGGCGGCUCUCUGGGACGGUACUGACGCUGAGACGCGAAAGCGUGGGGAGCGAACAGG